GAACUUGCCCCUAAGUUGGGGAUAACAUGGCUAACGCCGUGCUAAUAACGAAUGUGGUUUAUCUAUCGCUUGAUAGGUAGACUAAAGGCGAGAGUUGCUUAGGGAGAGUCCCGCGUCCUAUUAGCUAGUUGGUAAGGUAAUGGCUUACCAAGGCGACGAUGGGUAGCCGGCCUGAGAGGGUGGUCGGUCACAUGGGCACUGAGACACGGGCCCAACUCCUACGGGAGGCAGCAGUCGAGAGGCUUCCACAAUGGACGAAAGUCUGAUGGAGCGACGCCGCGUGGAUGAUGACGCUUUUCGGAGUGUAAAGUCCUUUUAUACGGGACGAACGCAAUUAUUUAUAAUUGUUUGACGGUACCGUAUGAAUAAGCCACGGCUAACUCCGUGCCAGCAGCCGCGGUAACACGGGGGUGGCAAGCGUUGUUCGGAUUUACUGGGCGUAAAGGGUGUGUAGGCGGAAUUAGUCAGCCAGAGGUGAAAUCUUGCAACUUAACUGNUAGUCUGCCUUUGGAACAGCUAAAUCUUGAGUACGGUAGAGGA
rnacentral:rRNA from 1 species